UACGGAGGGUGCUAGCGUUGUUCGGAAUUACUGGGCGUAAAGGGCGCGUAGGCGGCCGUUUGCGUCGGAUGUGAAAGCCCGGGGCUCAACCUCGGAACGGCAUUCGAUACGGGACGGCUGGAGACCGGGAGAGGAGAGUGGAAUUUACGGUGUAGCGGUGAAAUGCGUAGAUAUCGUAAGGAAGACCAGUGGCGAAGGCGGGUCUCUGGACAGUUCCUGACGCUGAGGCACGAAGGCCAGGGGAGCAAACGGG
rnacentral:rRNA from 1 species